AGAGUUUGAUCAGUGGCUCAGGACGAACGCUGGCGGUGUGCUUCACACAUGCAAGUCGAACGAGGUAGCAAUACCUAGUGGCGGACGGGUGAGUAACGCGUGGGAAUCUGCCUUUAGAUGGGGGAUAACGGGUCGAAAGACUCGCUAAUACCGCAUAUGACGAAAGUUGAAAGGAGUAAUCCGUCUAAAGAUGAGCCCGCGUCCGAUUAGCUAGUUGGUAGAGUAAAAGCCUACCAAGGCGACGAUCGGUAGCUGGUCUGAGAGGAUGAUCAGCCACAAUGGGACUGAGACACGGCCCAUACUCCUACGGGAGGCAGCAGUGGGGAAUUUUACGCAAUGGGCGAAAGCCUGACGUAGCGACACCGCGUGAGCGAAGAAGCCCCUUGGGGUGUAAAGCUCUGUCAGCUGGAACGAAAAAAUGACGGUACCAGCAGAGGAAGCAUCGGCUAACUACGUG
rnacentral:rRNA from 1 species